rnacentral:rRNA from 1 species
CUACGGGAGGCAGCAGUGGGGAAUCUUAGACAAUGGGGGAAACCCUGAUCUAGCCAUGCCGCGUGAGCGACGACGGCCCUAGGGUUGUAAAGCUCUUUCAGCAGGGAAGAUAAUGACGGUACCUGCAGAAGAAGUCCCGGCUAACUCCGUGCCAGCAGCCGCGGUAAUACGGAGGGGACUAGCGUUGUUCGGAAUUACUGGGCGUAAAGCGCGCGUAGGCGGAUUGUUAAGUCGGGGGUGAAAUCCCGGGGCUCAACCCCGGAACUGCCCUCGAUACUGGCAGGCUUGAGUUCGAGAGAGGUGAGUGGAAUUCCGAGUGUAGAGGUGAAAUUCGUAGAUAUUCGGAGGAACACCAGUGGCGAAGGCGGCUCACUGGCUCGAUACUGACGCUGAGGUGCGAAAGCGUGGGGAGCAAACAGGAUUAGAUACCCGUGUAGUC